GACGUAGGGUGCGAGCGUUGUCCGGAUUUAUUGGGCGUAAAGAGCUCGUAGGCGGCUCGUCGCGUCGGUUGUGAAAACUCUAGGCUUAACCUGGGGCUUGCAACCGAUACGGGCGGGCUAGAGUUCGGUAGGGGAGACUGGAAUUCCUGGUGUAGCGGUGAAAUGCGCAGAUAUCAGGAGGAACACCGGUGGCGAAGGCGGGUCUCUGGGCCGAUACUGACGCUGAGGAGCGAAAGCGUGGGGAGCGAACAGG
rnacentral:rRNA from 1 species